CCCAAUUCAUCACAAAUCUGAAUAUUCUCAACUUCAACUAGAAAAUAAUGAAUUUAGCCACUCAUGGUGACUAAAAUACACAAAAAUAAAGAAGAAAAGAAAGAAGGGAAGUUUCUGCUGUGUUGCUGGAGAAUUUCCGAAGAUGGCAGAUGCAGAAAGAGAUCUCCUUUGCUGGUUUGGAGGUUGCUCUUUUAUAGUUGGAGAAUUUCAUCCAUCUAGGGUUUUGAAAUCCCUUCUUGACUUGGUUUUUGAUUCCUCUUUGGAUGUGGAUUUUAAU
rnacentral:lncRNA from 1 species